rnacentral:tRNA from 2 species
AAGAAAGAAUGCAAGAACUGCUAACUCAUGCUACCGUAGAUUAAACAUACGGCUUUCUUA